AAAUCUUCUAAAAACUUGUCUUGUUCUGCUAAAUUAAUUGAUCAAAAAAAUGGUGCAAAAAAUUGUUUUCCACCUUCUUCUUCUGUUCAUCUUUGCUACUAUCAUUUCAACUGCUUCAUCAUCUAGUAAGUUUUCAUCAAAUUAAUUCAUGUAUAACAAGUAUAUUCAUCAAAAAGAUAUUUCAAUUAGUUUGCAUGUGUUUCGACUAAUGUUAUGGGAUAUUACCAUUUUCCAUUAAUACAAAUUAUGAGUAACUCUAUCCAUUAUGAUUUAGAGAGAUAAAAGAAUCAUCUAAUAUUUUUCUUUCGUAAAACUUUGAAUCGAGACGUUAUGAUUCUCCAUUGUCAAAAAUAUAUAUUCUUGCAUAUAGGUACAUAUAGAAGUUAGAGUUAGUGAUAUUUAUAAUGAUUGUCAUAUAGUUUUUUACAUACGUACCUUUUUUGUGUAUUAUUGUAUGUAAAUUAAGUUGAAAGUUUAAUAGAUUCAGUUAAACUCAAAUAACUGAUUUCAGAAAAAAAGAGUUAAGAUGGAUUGAUGAGUGUUUUUUUGUGUUGACUCCUCAUGAGGAUGAUGCAAUUACCUAUUUUCCAACCUAUUUUAACAUGAUGUUAUGUAGUUUAAACCUAUAAUUAAUUAUUUAAUCUAACAUAUUUUUUUUAUCAAAUUACAGGAAUUCUCAAGGAAUCCAUUGAUGAAACCUUUGACUUUGAUUUACCUUCUCAGGUUCCCACUCUCACUCUCUUGCAAAACAAAUUAUUUGAUCUUUAGUUUGCGUUUGGAUAUAAAAAUUGUGAAACCUAAAAUAAAAAUUGGUAUUUGUUUUAAGUUAAUAAAACGUUGAAUAGAAAUCUUAAAUUUUUUUUGCUACUUAAUUAUGUUAUAUCUUGACAAGAUUUCUAUAUAUAUAAUUUUCAAUUUUCUUCUCUCUUGUAUUUUUGUAUAGGAUGUGAGCGAUGAUGUAGAGUUUUCUAUAGCAAGGAGAAUGGAUUUGGUGUUAGACUAUGCUAGUCCUCGAGCAAACAAUCAACAUAACCCAACGCCUUGAUUAACAUUAUAGGGUCGUUUGGUACUUAGAUUAAGAUGAAAUUAAUGACUUAGAAUAAAUUUGUAUGAAUCUAAUCCGAAAUUUAUUCUUCAAUAUCUCAUUUCAAGAUGGUAAAUUAAUUGAUCAAGAAUUAUAACCUCGAGGUUAUAAUUUGAAGAUAAUUUAAUCCACGCACCAAACGAUCCUAAUUACUUGUUGUCUCUUGUUUUUCAUUGUUUAUCUCUUUUUCCACCCAUGUAAAGUAAAUUCACUUAUGAUUUUUUUUUUUAGUUCAAUUCCCUUUAAUUUAUAUCAUGUUAUAAUUUUGAAUUUAUUUUUUUAAGGAUAAGAAAUAAAAAUCAGUCUAUUUGAAGGACAAA
rnacentral:lncRNA from 1 species